GCUGUGAGCUGUGAGUGAAGUGGUGGGUUGUCAUUGUCUAUGCAUAACUGAGGGCUUCCAGAAAAUCUUGCCAUGGAAGGAGCUGCUCCAUCACCACUGGCACGUGUCUCUGCAGAUGCCCCAUGAGUCAGUUGUGGAGCCAGAAUGAGCUAACCUGGGUCCCUUCUCCUGCCCCUGCUUCUACCGCCAGAGGAAGGCUGAGGGCAAAGAGAGGGAAGAGGACCAGGAAGACCACAUUGAGGUUGACUGAAUCCUGGUCAAUCCAUGGUUGUCUUCUACCUGAGAUAUUUUUUUUCAGCUCCUUGAGAGACGCCACCACCACAUCAUGCUCCUGCAGCAUUUCUGGGUAGCGGGACACCGC